GAGGUCUACAGGGAACAACAUGUCUGUUUGACACAGCAUUAGAGCAUUUUGCACAAUAUCAGUCACAGUUUAAUGCCAGUCCCAAAAUAAAAACGUUUUCUAUUCUGUUUUGAUUAAACCUGAUUUACUUUGGUUUAUGGCUAAUCUUCCACAAGCAGUGUUCAGUUACAAACCAUUUGAUGACGUGUAAUGUUUGGUUGCCAGGUUGUAAAAAACGGUUUGAUUUGAUUUUUUUUUGAUAAAUUUAGUUUGUUUUUUAUUUAAUGGCAUCGUUUGCGUUACCAACUUUUAACUCGCGGUGCAAACGAUUUUAUGGGCGUGAAACUAAAAUCAUUUAAAGCAAUUUCGCAAUUUCACAAAUAAAAGUGGUUUUGCUUGUGAAUUAAACUUACGUGCGCUCACGUGGACGCGCAGAAGCGGCGCUGCGCGUGGCCUGGGCGCGCUCGCUCCCACAGACUCUCGUCUUCUGCUGGAGCAGCAUCACUUCUGCGGCGCAGGGUUCAAGUGACCCACGCUCCUCUACGCUGCGGGGAAACAGAGCUGCGCGAUAAGAAUUUGUUUUAAUUACUACGGAAAGUGAAAAGCCCCGGUCGAUCAGCUGACGAGGAACGGAACCCACACACACACCAGAGGGGAUUUGACGGGAUUUAUUUGGAGGAUGUGCGGCGGCGACGUGGACCUGGACGACGGCGGCGGCGCGGGCGAGGAGGAGAAGGAGGAGGAGCUGUGGGUGGGGGAGGGGGUGAAGAUGCUGGCGGCGCCGCCGGUGGCCCGCAGCGGCGGCGGCGCGUGGGGCAGCCGCCGCGGCCGCUGCGGCUGCGUGGCCUGGGGGGCGCUGCUCGUCCUCUGGAACCUCGGCGUGGCCGCGGCCGGCGCCGGGCUCCUGGCCGCCGUCUUCGCCGCGGUGCUGCUGCCUGCGGUGCUGCUGCUCUACGCCGGCUUCCUCUGCCACUCCAGGGUCCUCAACGCCUCCUCUGCCAUAUGUCAGUACCUGGACGACAACAGCUGCUCGGCGCUCAUCAUCCUGGGCUUCGUGAUGAUGUCGCCGCUGGUGGUGGCGGCAGCCGCGGUGUUCUGCGGGCUGCUCCGGAGGUCCCGACUGCUGCUCUACAUCCAGCCCAUGGCGCGCGCCUGGUACCGAGGGCGGCUGCUGGACGGGGUGGGCAGCGUCCACGCGUGGGUGUGAGGCGGGUGGAGGAGUCAGGAGAGAGGGGGUCAUCAGAAAGGAAGUGGGGGUUAUAGUGGAACAAUGUGGAACACACUAUAAUACAGUAGAAUAGAGUCAGUCCUCAUUGCAGGGUUUGUCAGACAAAGAGGGUUGAGGGGGGAAAUCUAUUGAUAAGUCUUUUAUUUUUGGAUCCCCUGCACAUAAUUGUGGCUGAAUAGAAAACAUGAUCUUGCUUAGUUCUAGCGUAGCGGGUUUCACCUCGAUUGAAUUUGGCUUUAAAUUAGAAACCAGCUCAGUUUCAGAAUCAUAAACAUCAUUUUUAUACUUUCUCUCUGUAUACAAAGAUCCCAAAGAUGAUAAAACUCACAAACGAUCAAAAUGCAAAACUCAAAGCUGUGAUGUGGAAAGAAUUUGGGACAACAGUGUUCAGUUAGACGGGUUUGUUAAACCUUUUGUAUUGACGUGUCAGUACUUGUGUUUGCACAUUAGAAGUGUAGUGAAAAGUGACUGGGCCCAUGUAACAAAAGGACACAGACUCAGACGUUUGUACUUGAACUCGUCCGUCAGAUGUAGCAUGAGUCCUGUCUCCAGUCCCCUUUGUUGCUGGCGGCGCCGGCAGGUAGAAGCUGCUCAGUUCAACUUCCAGCCCAUUUAAAUCCAUCAGCGCAUCCUCGCUCACAUAUUCAGUGCUCAGGUUCGAGGUUUCAUUGAGGAGGAGCGUCUCCUGCUCAAACCCGCUCGCUCUCCUCCACACGCGCGUCCGUCUGCUCUGUGUCAUUCGUCAGAGUGACGGAGCCCCGUUGGGCAUUUAUUUAUUUAAUUGUGCUGAUUGUAUGCCAGUAAAUACCACACAGGAAAUAAGUGACUGGAAAGGUUACAGCGGCUCAUUAUUUGCCAUGGCUUAUUUGUCUGUUAAGCGUUCCGCUUGAGUGGAAAGGCGACGCGCGGAUCGUUAAUAAAAGCAGGACUUCUUUUUUUUCUCA
ensembl:lncRNA